CAUUGGAAAUUUCAUUUGUACCCUUAUUUCUCCAAAGACAAACAAGCCCAUUUUCUUCCUCUUCAUCUUACGUGGAGGGAAGGCCUUAACCAACAAGCUUUUGACUUAUUUCUUUUCUAAAGUACAAAGCAAAAUUCACUUUUCUCAUUUCUUCCUCUGUACGUGGCAAUGGUGAAGUUGGACAACAAGUUAUUUUGACUAAUUUGUUCCUAAAUUCAGUCCAAGUUCAUAGCAAUUUCACCUCAUCCUUCUCCUUCCUUGCGUGGCAACAUUUUGGAGAGACAAAUGUCUGAAAAAUUCUUUGCUUACAUGACUCAUCCUUGUGAACAAUUUGUAUAAAUAGGCCUGAAAACUCCAUUGCUAUGCAUACUCAAGCUAAUAUUUCUGGUUUCAUUCCUUUUUCUCCAUUGUUUAUGUUCUCCAAUUCAAGGAACCAACAAUUGAAUUAUACCCAUUUUCUCUCCCCUCCACUCGACCACCGCGGAGGUACCUUCUGGCCGCCGCCACCACUUCCAACCACCACCUGUCAUACCUCCGACCAGGCGGCACCCACUCUCCGUCGCUAACUCCACCGCACCGCGGCCCCUGUUGCUGCGGUGUACUGUUGUUGUUGUGAAGUUCCUCUAUUAUUUUCCUUCAUUGCUUUUUGCUGUUGCCCAUUGCCUUUCAUUCCAUGUUAUGUCCAAAUAAUAUAAAAGUGUAGAGGGAUGCUAAUUUGUUAGUGGUAGUUGGGCCAAGUCAAUGUAUUUCAUAUAGUGGGUUUCGGUCAAGCAAGGCUAAGUAAGUGUUCUAGAUUUCUAAUUAAUUAUAGUUCCUUCAUUUAGUUUAGUUGGUGAAUAUUUCCUAACUCCUACAUUACUUCGUAUAUUAUUUUGGAGAUCUUUGACUUUGAUUAAAGAAUGGAAUGUUUAUCACGAAUUAAGGAAGUCCAGAGCAUGAGUUCCGGUAAUAAGUUAACCAUAUGGGUUUACGAUCGAGGUUCGAUUAAGGAGCUCAAGUUGCUCAAAUGAGAGUUAUUACUGGAGUUGGUAAUUUAUUUUGGAGAUAUCGAGACGAGAAAUUAUUUAUUAUGGAAAUCUUGUUAUUGAGUUUUUGAUUAUGAGAAUAUUGAUUAUUAUUUUAUUUUUGGGAAUAUUGUAUUAUUUAUGGAAUGUUAUUAAGGAAUAUUUUAUUUGUGGGCCCAUACCCAUAGGUCCCAGGAUUA